CAUGAGAUCUCUUUAAUUAAGAAACUUUACUCAAAGCCCUGAAAACUCAUUCUGGACUUGAAAGCCAAGUUCCAACAUUGAAACAGCAUCAACUAGUAUAACUAAAUCCCACAAAUCUGAAGAAUCCUGGUAAUCAUCCACAAGCUCAUGCAUCAAGAAGUAUGUUUGUUUUGUAGCACAUGGAACUGUAUGCAAGUUAAAAAAUAAUCUGGCCUUACAUACAGUCUAAUCACAGGUACAAAAAAUAAAGCUCUGUUCAAGAUGCCCUUUAUGUGCUACAGCUGUCUUAGUGCAGUAUUUGAGGAGAAAGUCUGAGGUUCAUCACCUGUGAUCCACAGGUGAGCGGUAUGGCACAGUAAGAGGAGCACCACAAUAAAAUGUAUGAACAGGAGCAUAACCCACAAUCAUUUUGUUCAGCUGUGCUUUUUUCAGGGCAAAACUUCUCCUCCAGCAUCAUUCAAUACAAGUGAAUACUAAUGAAAGAGAGUCCAGGGAGUACUGAAUGAUCAGAAUUCCAAAAAGUUUAAGAGAUGCAUAAAGGUUUGCUGUUACCUAGUAGUAGAAGAGACAAUCAAGAGAUGACACUUAACUAUGCCAAUAAGAUGCAGCAAAUAUAAGCAAAAAAGCCAAUUCCCUCCCCAACCAGCUGCUUUUGCUCAUCACAAAUAAGCUUAAAAUUGCAUGCUUUUUUUUUUUUUCCAAUUUAUACAGGUAUAGUUAGUCUUCUUUUGUAUGAAGAAGAAUCAAGUCUCAAGAGAGUUAAAGAUUAAUUAUUACUUUCUUUUAAUCAAAAUAGCUUAUAAAACAAGAAUGUUUCCAAAUUAGAACUUCUAAUUUCAUUUGUCAGCCUCUCCCAGUAGUUACUUCUCUGUCCAUAAUGCGAUCACCACCUACCUCCAUAUCACUCUGUCCUGUGAGCUGAACAAACUUCUGGCUUACAGAAGAUCUCAUCCCAAGUACUUCCCCAGCAAUAUGACUUCAUAAUUCCUGUAGUCUCCUUGUUCAAUAAAGCAAAGCCUUCUUCCUUCGAGCAGGAGGCAUCCUCAACUACUUGAAACUCAGGAAUACCAAAUGCAACAAACCAAAUGGAAUUCAUCUCCUGUGGUUUAUAAUAGUCAUUGUGUUUGCACGGUAGCUUUGACAGGUAUUGGAUGUCU
rnacentral:lncRNA from 7 species